AACGAACGCUGGCGGCAUGCCUAACACAUGCAAGUCGAACGAGAUCUUCGGGUCUAGUGGCGCACGGGUGCGUAACGCGUGGGAAUCUGCCCUUUGGUUCGGAAUAACAGCUGGAAACGACUGCUAAUACCGGAUGAUGACGAAAGUCCAAAGAUUUAUCGCCAGAGGAUGAGCCCGCGUAGGAUUAGCUAGUUGGUGGGGUAAAGGCGCACCAAGGCGACGAUCCUUAGCUGGUCUGAGAGGAUGAUCAGCCACACUGGGACUGAGACACGGCCCAGACUCCUACGGGAGGCAGCAGUGAGGAAUAUUGAACAAUGGGCGAAAGCCUGAGCCAGCAAUGCCGCGUGAGUGAUGAAGGCCUUAGGGUUGUAAAGCUCUUUUACCCGGGAUGAUAAUGACAGUACGGGGAGAAUAAGCUCCGGCUAACUCCGUGCCAGCCGCCGCGGUAA
rnacentral:rRNA from 1 species